rnacentral:rRNA from 1 species
UGGUUGAUCCUGUGGUUGAUCCUGCCAGUAGUCAUAUGCUUGUCUUAAAGAUAUAGAGCCAUCGCAUGUCUAAGUAUAAGUCUUUUAUAUGGUGAAACUGCGAAUGCGCUCAUUAAAACAGUUAUAGUUUAUUUGAUGUUUGUUUCUACAUGGAUAACCGUGGCUAAUUGUAGGGCUAAUACAUGCUCGACAGCUGUUUACGCAGAUUGCGUUUAUUAGAUCUCUAAAACCUCCCCGCUUUUGCGGUGUUUCGUGUGAUUCGAUAAUAAACUCUAGCGAAUCGCACUGGCUUUGCCGGCGAUGUAUCAUUCAAGUUUCUGACCUAUCAGCUUUGGACGGUAGGGUAUUGGCCUACCGGGGCAACGACGGGUAACGGGGAAUUAGGGUUCGAUUCCGGAGAGGGAGCCUGAGAAACGGCUACCACAUCUAAGGAAGCAGCAGGCA